GAGGUUGUGGCUCAGUGGUAGAGCACUUGCCUAGCAUGUGUGAAGCACUGGGUUUGAUUCUCAGCACCACA
rnacentral:tRNA from 1 species